CCUACGGGAGGCAGCAGUGGGGAAUAUUGGACAAUGGGCGGAAGCCUGAUCCAGCCAUGCCGCGUGUGUGAAGAAGGCCUUUUGGUUGUAAAGCACUUUAAGCGAGGAGGAGGCUACUAGUAUUAAUACUACUGGAUAGUGGACGUUACUCGCAGAAUAAGCACCGGCUAACUCUGUGCCAGCAGCCGCGGUAAUACAGAGGGUGCGAGCGUUAAUCGGAUUUACUGGGCGUAAAGCGUGCGUAGGCGGCUGAUUAAGUCGGAUGUGAAAUCCCUGAGCUUAACUUAGGAAUUGCAUUCGAUACUGGUCAGCUAGAGUAUGGGAGAGGAUGGUAGAAUUCCAGGUGUAGCGGUGAAAUGCGUAGAGAUCUGGAGGAAUACCGAUGGCGAAGGCAGCCAUCUGGCCCAAUACUGACGCUGAGGUACGAAAGCAUGGGGAGCAAACAGGAUUAGAUACCCUGGUAGUCCAUGCCGUAAACGAUGUCUACUAGCCGUUGGGGUCUUUGAGACUUUAGUGGCGCGNGCGUAACGUCGAGUUAAGUUAGUACCGCCGUUGGGGUAGGUUACGGUUCGGCGAGACGAAACGUUACGAAGGAAGUUAGACGGCGNGAGGACGNGCGACGGACGACGACGAGGGAGGUAGGNG
rnacentral:rRNA from 1 species